UCCAUCAACAUUUCAUCAGAGCUGCUUGGAUAUACAGAUGCUUCCUCCCGGUGAAUGGCAUUGUCCAAAUUGCACAUGUAAAUUUUGUGGCAUAGCCCGUGGUACUUCUGAAAAAGAUGAUGCAUCUGUGUAUGUCCUACGUACUUGCAACUUAUGCGAGAAGAAAUAUCAUGACUCUUGCACUAAGGAGAUGGAUACCCUUCCUAAUAACUUCAAUACAUCAAGCCUUUCUUUUUGUGGGAAAGAAUGCAAAGAGGUACCUCUUACAGU